UCAGUGGGCCUCUGAACAAGAGGGGCGUGCAGAGCGGCUUUUUGGCCUCAGUUAACUCUUAAAUGGGUGUCAGAGGCACUGUCUUCCCCUAGCUAUGCGCCUCGUGCCUGGGAGCCUUAGGGCCACACGGAAGGGUAGAAAUCAGUUUCAGAGAUUCCUGCUCCCAGCCCAGGCCCAGACGGCAACAGAAGCUCAUGGUGAGUUCACCCCGGUCCUGGUCUGGCACCUCAUUGCUGGGGAGGUCUCGGCAGUCCAGAGGAGGUAGCCCCCACCCUGGGCAUCCAUCCGCCCAGGCCCCAGCCUCCGCGGGAAGACCCAAUUACAGAAGAGAGAAGUAUGUGGAGACCCUUGGCUGAGGUUGGGGGUCCUGGAAGCUGGAGGUAGUGUUCCUGGGUAUAGCAUGAUGGGUUGAUGGGUGGGUUUUAUUCUCUUUUUAAGGAUUUUUUAUAUUUUUCAAAUUUCCCUUUUGAAAUGUAUUCAUUUUGCAAUCAGAAAACAAAACAGGCCAGGCGUGGUGGUUCACACCUGUAAUCCCAGCACUUUGGGAGGCUGAGGCGGGUGGAUCACCUGAGGCCAGGAGUCCAAGACCAGCCUGGCCAACUUGGUGAAACCCCGUCUCUACUAAGAAUACAAAAAUUAGCCAGGCGUGGUGGUGGGCACCUGUAGCCCCAGCUACUUGGGAGGCUGAGGCACGAGAAUCGCUCGAACCCAGGAGGCGGAGCUUGCAGUGAGCUGAGAUCGCGCCACUGCACUCCAGCCUGGGCAACAGAGAGAGACUCUGUCUCAAAAAAAAGAAAACAAAACAAACCAGUGAACACUACUCCAAACAAAUGUCCAGGCCCAGAGAUCAGAGGCUGCAAGGUGGGCUCUGUCCCCAUGUCCCCAGCCACACUGCUGGGGAACCCACAGGGUGCCAGGUCCCCUCAGCCCUGUCCCUGCCCCACAGGCCCCUGGAGUGAUUGUAGGCUCUAGACUGCCUCAGUUUGCCCCCAGCCUCCCCUAGGUGCCCGGGGAGCCACUGGCCAGCCUCCGGUCGCACUCCACUCAGGGCUUGACGGGGAAACAGAAACCAGCCUUGAACGCCUUCCCACGCCCCAAAACGCCAGGGUGCACAGUGAGGGGAGCCCUGGUCAGAUGGCACAGAUGGCAUUCCUGCCCGCGAGAGGCCCAGGACCCCGGGGAGCCAGAGGGGCAGGGUGCCCGCAGCGUCCAGGCAAAUGGGCCCA
rnacentral:lncRNA from 10 species